rnacentral:miRNA from 1 species
CAACGUUAUCGCCGUCUUCA